UACGUAGGGGGCAAGCGUUGUCCGGAUUCAUUGGGCGUAAAGAGCUCGUAGGCGGUUCGGCAAGUCGGGUGUGAAAACUCCAGGCUCAACCUGGAGACGCCACCCGAUACUGCUGUGACUCGAGUCCGGUAGGGGCCACGGAAGUUCCUGGUGUAGCGGUGGAAAUGACGCAGACGUAUCAGGAGGAACACCGGUGGCGAAGGCGGUCUGCUGGGGUCGAACUGACGCUGGAGGCGACGACAGCGUGGGGAGCAAACAGG
rnacentral:rRNA from 1 species